GACGAACGCUGGCGGCGCGCCUAAUACAUGCAAGUCGAACGAGUGGCGGACGGGUGAGUAACACGUGGGAACCUACCCAUCAGAUGGGGAUAACACUUGGAAACAGGUGCUAAUACCGCAUACUGAUGGAUGGACCCGCGGUGCAUUAGCUAGUAGGUGGGGGAAAGGCUCACCUAGGCGCCGAUCGCUAGCGGGUCGGAGAGGUUGAUCAGCCACACUGUGACUGAGACACGGCCCAGACGCCUACGGGAGGCAGCAGUGGGGAAUAUUGCACAAUGGGCGCAAGCCUGAUGCAGCCAUGCCGCGUGUAUGAAGAAGGCCUUAGGGUUGUAAAGUACUUUCAGCGGGGAGGCGUUACCCGCAGAAGAAGCACCGGCUAACUCCGUGCCAGCAGCCGCGGUAAUAC
rnacentral:rRNA from 1 species